AGUACUCAUUGAUCAGGGCCUGAUCAACCCUUCUAGUUAUGCUCCUGCCAAAAUUGACUUCUCAUAAAGUGUUCUCUUUACUUACCUCACUAUUUCCCUUCUCCUGCCCUUUUUUAUACUUUCUUUGCUCUAACCCCAGUUCUUACCUCUGUAAGUCCAAUUUUGUCUUACAUUCAAGACCCAACUAAAAUGUCUUAUUUCCUUCCGUCUUAUAGGAACAUGUAGUUAAAAGUUUGACUUCUAAAUUCAUGUUGCAUUUGACCCGUACCUCUCUUUUGAUACUUAUGCCAAGUGGUAAGCAACCAGUUUUCUGUGCACAGUCUUUCUUGUGCACUUGGAUCGUGUAUACAGUUCUUGGACUAUAGUAGGCACUUGAGAAAUGAUUCAGUGAACAAAAGACAAAUCCCAGUUCUUCCUCUUUCAGGUCAUUUCUACUCUCCCCACAUUCCACAAAAAUGUCUUCCACUACUUGAUGGCGUUUUUGCAAGAACUGCUGAAAAAUUCAGCAAAAAAUCAUUUGGAUGAGAAUAUUCUAGCUAGCAUAUUUGGCAGCUUAUUGCUUCGAAACCCAGCUGGUCACCAGAAGCUUGAUAUGACAGAGAAGAAGGCGGCUCAAGAAUUUAUUCA
rnacentral:sRNA from 1 species